rnacentral:rRNA from 1 species
GGCGUAAAGCGUGCGCAGGCGGUUCGGAAAGAAAGAUGUGAAAUCCCAGAGCUUAACUUUGGAACUGCAUUUUUAACUACCGAGCUAGAGUGUGUCAGAGGGAGGUGGAAUUCCGCGUGUAGCAGUGAAAUGCGUAGAUAUGCGGAGGAACACCUGAUGGCGAAGGCAGCCUCCUGGGAUAACACUGACGCUCAUGCACGAAAGCGUGGGGAGCAAACAGGAUUAGAUACCCUGGUAGUCCACGCCCUAAACGAUGUCAACUAGCUGUUGGGGCCUUCGGGCCUUGGUAGCGCAGCUAACGCGUGAAGUUGACCGCCUGGGGAGUACGGUCGCAAGAUUAAAACUCAAAGGAAUUGACGG